rnacentral:rRNA from 1 species
GGGGAACCAGGACUUUUACUUUGAAAAAAUUAGAGUGUUCAAAGCAGGCCUAUGCUCGAAUACAUUAGCAUGGAAUAAUAGAAUAGGACGUGCGGUUCUAUUUUGUUGGUUUCUAGGACCGCCGUAAUGAUUAAUAGGGACAGUCGGGGGCAUCAGUAUUCAAUUGUCAGAGGUGAAAUUCUUGGAUCUAUUGAAGACUAACUACUGCGAAAGCAUUUGCCAAGGAUGUUUUCAUUAAUCAGGAACGAAAGUUAGGGGAUCGAAGACGAUCAGAUACCGUCGUAGUCUUAACCAUAAACUAUGCCGACUAGGGAUCGGACGAUGUUAUUUUUUGACUCGUUCGGCACCUUACACGAAAGUACAAGUUUCUGGGUUCUGGGGGGAGUAUGGUCGCAAGGCUGAAACUUAAAGAAAUUGACGGAAGGGCACCACCAGGAGUGGAGCCUGCGGCUUAGUUUGACUCAACACGGGGAAACUCACCAGGUCCAGACACGAUGAGGAUUGACAGAUUGAGAGCUCUUUCUUGAUUUCGUGGGUGGUGGUGCGUGGCCGUUCUUAGUUGGUGGAGUGAUUUGUCUGCUUAAUUGCGAUAACGAACGAGACCU